AUGCCGGCCACCGCCUCGCCGCCACCGCUGCUCCUCGCCGCCGCGCUCCUCCUCUCCGCCGCGUUGCUCUGCUCGGCCUGCCCCGUGCCGCUGCCGAAGCAGACGGCCGACAACAGCCCGCGGCUGCAGCGCGCGUACGUGGCGCUGCAGGCCCUCAAGCGCGCCAUCACCGACGACCCCAAGAACCUGACGGGCAACUGGUGCGGCCCGGACGUGUGCGCCUACUUCGGCGUCUUCUGCGCGCCGUCCCUUGACGACCCGUGCGCGCGCGCCGUGGCCGGCGUCGACCUCAAUCACGGCGACCUCGCCGGCACGCUGCCGUUCGAGCUCGGCCACCUCACUGACCUCGCCGUCCUCCACCUCAACUCCAACCGCUUCGCAGGGGGGCUCCCGGACUCCCUCCCCAAGCUCUCCCUCCUCCACGAGCUGGACGUCAGCAACAACCUCCUCUCCGGCGGCUUCCCGCAGCACAUCCUCUGCCUCCCCAACGUCAAGUACGUGGACAUCAGGUUCAACAACCUGUGCGGCCCCGUGCCCCCGGCCAUCUUCGACAAGAAGAUCGACGCGCUCUUCAUCAACGACAACCACUUCGACUUCGAGCUGCCGGAGAACUUUGGCAACUCCCCCGCCUCGGUCAUCGUGCUCGCCAACCUCCGCCUCCGUGGCUGCAUCCCCGCCAGCGUGGGGCGCAUGGGGGCCACGCUCAACGAGCUCGUCAUGCUCAACUCCGGCAUCCGGUCCUGCAUCCCGCCGGAGAUCGGGUGGCUGCGCGAGCUCACCGUGCUGGACGUGAGCUUCAACCAGCUCCAGGGCACACUGCCGGAGUCCAUGGCGGGGAUGCACGCGCUGGAGCAGCUCGACGUCGCGCACAACGAGCUCGCCGGGCACAUCCCGGAGGGCAUCUGCGCGCUGCCGCGGCUGGCCAACUUCACCUACUCGUACAACUACUUCUGCGGCGAGCCGGAGCGGUGCAUGGCGCUCCGGCGCAACGACGACCGGCAGAACUGCAUCGCCGGCCGCCCGGACCAGCGGCCGGCGGACCAGUGCCUCGCGUUCCUACACCGCCCGCCGGUGCACUGCGACGGGCACGGCUGCCUGGCGCAGCACUAG
rnacentral:rRNA from 1 species